UCCACCUCCCAAAGUGCUGGGAUUACAGGUGUGAGCCACCAUGCCCGGCCUACAUCUUUUUUUAAAUAAGCUUAAUAACCCAUGAGAAAGGUGUUAGUUUAAAAAAAAAAAGAUAAAUAAAUCUCUUGUCAGUUUUUUUUUUCCCCAACCCCAUAAUCUUAUCCUUAAGGACCUGGAAGCCUUCUCUUUGAAAUGAAAUCAUCGAGGGAAAUAGCAUUCCUAUUUCCUAGUCCUAUGGAAGGGUAGGAACCUAACUUCAGCUGGCACCUGUUAAGUUACAAACCUACCAUAAAGACAUAAGAAAUUUAAUUUUCCUUUGGAUAAAGACAAUUAACAAACACAGGUGACUACUCCGAUUCGCAGGUGACAGGUGGUGCUGUGAAGUCAUCUUAUUUGAGGACUAGUUGUUUAUCUUGAAAACAUGUAUGACAUGGGUUGCAUCUGCCUGGUUAUAUAAAGGGCCAAUUCUCAAUAUCCUCAAGGAUUGGUUCCACAACUCUCCUCCUCCACCAAAACCCCAGGAUGCUCAAGUCCUUUAUAUAAAAUGAGUUGGGGCCUCGUUCUGUUGCCCAGGCUGGAGUGCAGUGGUGCAAUCAUAGCUCACUGCAGCCUUGACUUCCUAGGCUCAAGUGAUCCUCCCACCUUGGCUUCCGAAGUAGCUGGAACUACAGAUGCAGGGCAGUUUGGCCGAGAAUCAAGCCAGGAUUUGACAAGAAGGGAGUUGAAGGGUCAAUGAAAGGUACAGUAUGAUAUAAGGACACUACACAGGAAGGAAUGGAAAGCUGAGAAAUAGGAUGGACACAUUUGGGCAGAUGUGGUCAAGACCCAGACUCUCAAAUGCCCAAAUCCCCUUGAGCUUUUCUCAGAGUGGAGGCAACCUACCCUCAUAUCCACUCCCCAUUCCUGACCAGCCUUUCCCUGUGUAAAAGGCACUUAGUCGCUUCAUCUGGGGCAGUUGCCUUAUGAGCUGAUGCUAGUUCUUGUAAGGGACUGAUCCUACCCUGCCUCCUUGCCUCUGGAUCUUAACAGAAGUUAGUUAUUCCAGUGCAAACCAAAAAGUACUGAACGUGGCCCAGAAAGAGAUAGUUUCUUGCCAGUGUGUAUUGGCAAGAGUUAGGGAAUAUGGAAAUGGAUUGUUACGCCAAGGAAAACAAAUAUAAGGUUGGAUUGGGAUAAAUGUAUAAACAUGAGUGCAUGUGCUGGCAUGUCAGUCAUGUUUUCCAAAGAUAGUCACACAAUGUCUCUCAUCUUUUCUGCCAGUGGCCUUGACACUCCUUCCAUUGAGUGGUGGGGUCUAUGUCCCCUCCCCUUGAAUCCAAUAGAGUACAACCAAAGUAAUACCAUGUGAUAUCCCAGGUAAGGUCAUUAAGUUUCUACAGAAGAGACUUGAUAGCAAAGGAGAGCCUGCCAGGUCUAACUGCUCAUCCUGACCUCCCAGCUUCUUGCCUGGCCUUUAAAUAACCCUCCCUUAGGUGUCCUGGAAUGUCUCCUUGCUCUGAUUCCAGAGCAGUUAUUUUUUAUGUAUUCAUUCAACAAAUUUAGCGUCUGUAAUAUGCCCAGCAUAGGCCAUAAAUGAUGACACUGACAAGACCCCAAGUUGGAGAAACUAAAUGAGCCCUAACAACAAGUGCUGACCCGAGCCACAAUAGAGGCCUGUUGAAGGGAGAAAGAGGUAAUGAGGUGGGGUCAGGGAGGGCUUCUGGAGUAGGAGAUUCCUGAGCCAAGUCCUAAAGGAUGUGUAUGGGCUCACCAGGUGGAGAAGAUGGAACGGACAAGUCUGGUCGUGGAAAGAUGCCCUGGGCAGAGGGAACGGUGCGGAUAAAGGAAGGAGAGCAAGUGGAAGAUGGCAGCCAAUGGGAAUGAGCAAUGCAUGGGAAGGAACUGAGGGUGAGAUGAAAGGCAGCGCACCAGGCUGCAGAGAUCAGCCCUGGCGGUUACAUUUUUCAAUUAAUUCUCUUAUUUUUAUUAUAUAAAA